AGAGUUUGAUCCUGGCUCAGAAUGAACGCUGGCGGCGUGCUUAACACAUGCAAGUCGCACGAGAACGCUUCAGCUUGCUGAAGCUAGUAAAGUGGCGCACGGGUGAGUAACGCGUGGGUAAUCUACCUCCAAAUUGGGGAUAACAUUGCGAAAGCGAUGCUAAUACCGAAUAAUAUCUCAAGAACUUCGGCUUUUGAGAUCAAAGGUGGCCUCUCCGUGGAAGCUACUGUUAGGAGAUGAGCCCGCGUACCAUUAGCUUGUUGGUAGGGUAAUGGCCUACCAAGGCAACGAUGGUUAGCUGGUCUGAGAGGAUGAUCAGCCACACUGGAACUGACACACGGUCCAGACUCCUACGGGAGGCAGCAGUGAGGAAUUUUGCGCAAUGGGGGAAACCCUGACGCAGCAACGCCGCGUGAGUGAUGAAGGCUUUCGGGUCGUAAAGCUCUGUCAAGUGGGAAGAACCUGCCUAGUGCUAAUAUCACCGGGCACUGACGGUACCACUGAAGGAAGCACCGGCUAACUCCGUGCCAGCAGCCGCGGUAACACGGGGGGUGCAAGCGUUAUUCGGAAUCACUGGGCGUAAAGAGCGCGUAGGCGGUCUCUUAAGUCAGAUGUGAAAGCCCGGGGCUUAACCUCGGAAGUGCAUUUGAAACGAAGGGACUUGAGUAUGGGAGAGGGAAGUGGAAUUCCUGGUGUAGCGGUGAAAUGCGUAGAUAUCAGGAGGAACACCGGUGGCGAUGGCGACUUCCUGGACCAAUACUGACGCUGAGGCGCGAAGGCGUGGGGAGCAAACAGGAUUAGAUACCCUGGUAGUCCACGCAGUAAACGUUGAACACUAGUGUAGCGGGUAUUGACCCCUGCUGUGCCGCAGCUAACGCAUUAAGUGUUCCGCCUGGGGAGUACGGCCGCAAGGCUAAAACUCAAAGGAAUUGACGGGGGCCCGCACAAGCGGUGGAGCAUGUGGUUUAAUUCGACGCACGCGAAGAACCUUACCUGGGUUUGACAUCCCGGGAAUUCUGUAGAAACACAGAAGUGCCCUUCGGGAGCCCGUGAUGUGCUGCAUGCUGUCGUCAGCUCUGUCUGAAUGUGGGUUAAGUCCGCACGAGCGCCACCCCUAUCUUAGUACAGCAUUAGUGGGACUCUUAAGAAUCUGCCGGUACCGGGAGAGGUGGGAUGACUCAAGUCCCAUGGCUUAUGUCCAGCUAACACGGCUCAAUGGCUGUUACAAAGGAUAGCGAACAUC
rnacentral:rRNA from 1 species